rnacentral:rRNA from 1 species
UUUAACGGCCGCGGUAUCCUAACCGUGCAAAGGUAGCGUAAUCACUUGUCCCUUAAAUAGGGACCAGUAUGAACGGCUAAAUGAGGAUAAACCUGUCUCCUUUAACAAAUUCAGUGAAACUGAUCUACCAGUACAAAAGCUGGUAUAACCCCAUAAGACGAGAAGACCCUGUGGAGCUUUAAAUUUUAACCAAGCAACUACGCAAGCUCAGCCAAUGGCUAAAAAUUUUAAGUUGGGGCGACUUCGGAAAUAAACCAAACUUCCGAGCAUAAGAUAAUAUCUUACCAAGACCUACAAGUCAAAGCUAAAAUUGACCCAGUACCACUGACAACCGAACCAAGUUACCCCAGGGAUAACAGCGCAAUCUUCUUCAAGAGUCCCUAUCGACAAGAAGGUUUACGACCUCGAUGUUGGAUCAGGACACCCAAAUGGUGCAGCCGCUAUUAAAGGUUC